GUAGGUGGCAAGCGUUGUCCGGAUUUACUGGGCGUAAAGGGCGCGCAGGCGGCUCGUCAAGUCUGGGGUGAAAUCUCCCGGCUCAACCGGGAGAGGUCUCUGGAUACUGACGGGCUUGAGGAAAGCAGAGGAGAGCGGAAUUCCAGGUGUAGCGGUGAUAUGCGUAGAUAUCUGGAGGAACACCAGUGGCGAAGGCGGCUCUCUGGGCUUUUCCUGACGCUGAGGCGCGAAAGCGUGGGGAGCGAACCGGGAUUAGAUACCCGGGUAGUCCACGCCGUAAACGUUGGGCACUAGGUGUGGGAGGUAUUGACCCCCUUCCGUGCCGCAGUUAACGCGAUAAGUGCCCCGCCUGGGGAGUACGGCCGCAAGGCUA
rnacentral:rRNA from 1 species